ACACCUGUAGCUCAGUGGAUAGAGCAGUAGAAUCCGGAUCUACGUGCGGGGGUUCGAUUCCCUUCAGGUGUG
rfam:Clostridiales bacterium KLE1615 genomic scaffold Scaffold36, whole genome shotgun sequence.